ensembl:snRNA U6 U6 spliceosomal RNA
GUAUUCGCUUCAGCAGCACAUAUUCUAAAACUGGAACGAUACAGAGAAGAUUAGCAUGGUCCCAGCACAACGAUGACAUGAAAAUUCAUGGCGCAUUCCUUAUUUUU